AAGCUGACGCUAAAGAUCCGCCGUUCAUCCUUUUCCGCAGCGCCGAACAUGGAAGUUAAGCUCGUGCGCCGAUGGUAGUUAGGGGGUUUCCCCUGUGAGAGUAGGACGUCGCUAGGCA
rnacentral:rRNA from 1 species